AGGGACAGGUCAUUAUUUAUGGUGGGGGGUGGCACCGAAGAGAAAUGUUUUUCUUGGAAAAAUUUUUGCUGACCCAACCAUUAAAAAGUCAAAAAAUUUGAUUACCCAACUCAAAUAUCAAUUAAAAAAUAAAUACCCACCCCUGGCAAAAAACUUUACAAAAUGAUACCAGUCAGUUGUCACACAUGUCCUUCACCACUUCUGUGAUAUCACUGAUAUGAGUUUGAUAACGGCUUGUGAAAGUUUCUGCAGUCUAAAGUUUCAUAUUGUCUGCACAUGUAGUUUCUUUGGACACACCAAUUUGCCCAACAAAUCGGAAAACGGUCAAGAUAGUGACUCUGAUCACAGUUUAUAGAAAUGCUCUGAUUGAUUCACAUAUUGUAUUGGCAUAUCACUGUUGACAUUGCUUUUCAGUCUCCAAUAUUUCAGUGAGUCAUGCUUUGGAAAUGACAAUAUUUUUUUAUUACCCAACCAUUGGGUUGUUUUGUUUUUCAUUUACCCAAC